rnacentral:rRNA from 1 species
AUGAGCCUACGGGGGGCAGCAGUAGGGAAUCUUCCACAAUGGGCGAAAGCCUGAUGGAGCAACGCCGCGUGGGUGAAGAAGGUCUUCGGAUCGUAAAACCCUGUUGUUAGAGAAGAAAGUGCGUGAGAGCAACUGUUCACGUUUCGACGGUAUCUAACCAGAAAGCCACGGCCAACUACGUGCCAGCAGCCGCGGUAAUACGUAGGUGGCAAGCGUUAUCCGGAUUUAUUGGGCGUAAAGAGAACGCAGGAGGUCUUUUAAGUCUGAUAUGAACGCCUUCGGCUUAACCGGAGUAGUGGAUUUGA